AUCCUUCCAGAACAUUCCAGAGUCCGCUUCUGUCAUGGACACUGGGGCAGGCACCCACCCCCACAUGUCCUCCAAGCCUGAAGGACAGGACUUACCCCCUCGGUCACCAAAUGGGCUGUCAGCAACCUGACAGUGCCCUGGGCCAUGCAGAGCCGAGGGCCCAGGGCCCAGCCUCAGCCAGGGAGCAGCGGGAGCUCAGAGUCUGGGCAACCUGAGGCCCAGCUCCCUCAUCCCGUUGCCAGGCAACACACAGGACGCUGUUAGUUUGCAUUUCAGUGCCGUCUGGACUUGGAGCAGUGGACCAUGAACUAAAAAGAGAACACCAAGGUCAUAAGCUGGGGACCUGCGUUUCAGAGGUAGAAGCCGAGGCACAGAGCAGUGAGACGACUGUUAGGUCCCUGGCAGGAAGUGGCAAAGCCAGGACUAACACUCAGGCGCCACCACAGCUACAUCCAAAGCUCCCAAAGGACCAGCAGCUUUCCAGAGCUCCGCUCUUCCAAAAGCCUGAGAAAAUGCUAGCGGCCUGACCUUCUGCACUCGGGCAACCUUUCUGCCUGUGGCUUAUGUCCUGGCCCAAACCAGCCUUAUUUCUGGGGCCGCGGUUCCAGAGCUGGUGUUCCCAGCCCCCACCCCAGGAGGAGUGCCCCCCCGGGCUGAUGAAUAACUCAGUGCGAUAGGAGAAGCCGACUCCGAGAAACCAACACCAGCAAAGAGCGCCUUGUGCCAGGUCAGUUCCAGCGUGGGCACAGUCAGGGGCACUGCAGGACGGUUCAAGGUGGGCUGGGGAUAGAGACAGACACUGCGGGGAAAGGACUGGAAACACGGAAAGCACAGCAGUCAGGAUGGAGCCACGAGCAAGAGGGAGAGAGGCAGAGCACGGUGAAGAGAAAGGCCGGGCAAGGCCAAAAGCACGGAGCGUUUGGCAAAGCAGAGGAAGGGUCAAGAAAGCUGAGGCUGUGGGUGAACGAAUGUGUAUCUCACCCCAGACGCGGCCAUGGCGACGCCGACGCUGAGGGACGGAAGAGACCGUCGGAGCCGGCUUGCUGAGGAAGAGUGUAGUCCCACUCGAGUGCACGGUCUUCUUAGCACUUCACACGCUGGGCAGGGGAGGAGCCAGGUCUGCAGCCAUGGAAAUGUCGUCCCCGCGGGCACUUAGCUGGUGGUGAUGUCCUUCAGCCCCAUGCUAUGUCACUUGGUGCAGGGUGGCUGGCCUCGAUGCCCCAGAGUUUGCAAGGCUGGUUCCAGAGUGCUGUUCACAUCCAGUGAGUUCUACAGAGUGAUCCUAGCGGGCGUGUGUGCUGGGUCUCUGGAUAGGAACUGGUAGAAACACAACUUAAACAGCUAAAGCCACAGGGAGAUUCUGGGCAGCAGGUUGAAGGCGCCGAGGUCGAAGGGUCAGUUGACAGCACAGCCAUAGGGGUCAGGGACAGAGGCCAAGGUCUUCGCUCCUGGAAGCAGAGACCUGUGAGCCUCACGGCUGCCCUGCCUCUCAGAUACCGUAUGCUGCAGAGACCCUGCUGGGCUGCAUGUGAGUUCAAGGUCAGCCUGGACUUCAUAGUUGGCAAUUAUGGGAGAGUUUAAAGAGCAGUGUGGGGAGCCUUAGGCAGGGAG